GGGCCCAUAGCUCAACGGAUAGAGCAACGGCCUUCUAAGCCGUCGGUUGUGGGUUCGAAUCCCGCUGGGCCUAUCA
rnacentral:tRNA from 1 species